rnacentral:rRNA from 1 species
GACGAACGCUGGCGGCGUGCCUAAUACAUGCAAGUCGAGCGCAGGAAAUCGACGGAACCCUUCGGGGGGAAGUCGACGGAAUGAGCGGCGGACGGGUGAGUAACACGUAAAGAACCUGCCCUCAGGUCUGGGAUAACCACGAGAAAUCGGGGCUAAUACCGGAUGGGUCAUCGGACCGCAUGGUCCGAGGAUGAAAGGCGCUCCGGCGCCGCCUGGGGAUGGCUUUGCGGUGCAUUAGCUAGUUGGUGGGGUAAUGGCCCACCAAGGCGACGAUGCAUAGCCGACCUGAGAGGGUGAUCGGCCACACUGGGACUGAGACACGGCCCAGACUCCUACGGGAGGCAGCAGUAGGGAAUCUUCCACAAUGGACGAAAGUCUGAUGGAGCAACGCCGCGUGAACGAUGAAGGCCUUCGGGUCGUAAAGCUCUGUUGUAAGGGAAGAACAAGUGCCGCAGGCAAUGGCGGCACCUUGACGGUACCUUGCGAGAAAGCCACGGCUAACUACGUGCCAGCCGCCGCCGUAAAAC